rnacentral:lncRNA from 1 species
GAAUAAUUUGAAUAUCAAACUAUAAUAUUUUACAUUUUUACCCUAAACUCCCAAACUUUUUUACUUUUCCCCUAAAACUUUUACUCCUUCCCACUUUCCCCCCAAAACUUUUACUCCCCUCCCCUCCCAACCCCCAAAUCUACCCAAAAUCCAUUUCCCACCAAAAUGUUACCUUUCAUUUACUUUUUCUCAAAAUUUUACUCCCAAAAACCCUCAAAACCUUUUAUUUUCCCCCAAAAUUUUUACUCCCUCUCACUUU